rnacentral:rRNA from 1 species
GACGAACGCUGGCGGCGUGCUUAACACAUGCAAGUCGAACGGUGAAGCGCCUUCCUUUUUGGUGGGUGUGGAUGAGUGGCGAACGGGUGAGUAACACGUGAGUAACCUGCCCCCUUCUUCUGGAUAACCGCAUGAAAGUGUGGCUAAUACGGGAUAUUCUGGGUCUGUCGCAUGAUGGGUCUGGGAAAGAUAUUGUUUCGGUGGGGGAUGGGCUCGCGGCCUAUCAGCUUGUUGGUGGGGUGAUGGCCUACCAAGGCGGUGACGGGUAGCCGGCCUGAGAGGGUGGACGGUCACACUGGGACUGAGACACGGCCCAGACUCCUACGGGAGGCAGCAGUCGGGAAUAUUGCACAAUGGGCGCAAGCCUGAUGCAGCGACGCCGCGUGAGGGAUGGAGGCCUUCGGGUUGUGAACCUCUUUCGCCAGUGAAGCAGGCCUGCCUCGUUUGUGGGUGGGUUGACGGUAGCUGGAUAAGAAGCGCCGGCUAACUACGUG